rnacentral:tRNA from 3 species
UGAUAAUUAGUUUAGACCAAAAAAUAAAUGAUUUCGACUCAUUAGACUAUGAUUUACUUCAUAAUUAUCAA